rnacentral:rRNA from 1 species
GAUGAACGCUGGCGGCGUGCUUAACACAUGCAAGUCGAACGAAGCAUAUUUAUUAGAGUUCUUCGGAAUGAAGAUUCAUAUGACUUAGUGGCGGACGGGUGAGUAACGCGUGGGUAACCUGCCUUGCACUGGGGGAUAACAGUUAGAAAUGACUGCUAAUACCGCAUAAGCGCACAGCAUCGCAUGAUGUAGUGUGAAAAACUCCGGUGGUGUAAGAUGGACCCGCGUCUGAUUAGUUAGUUGGUGAGGUAAUGGCUCACCAAGACAGCGAUCAGUAGCCGGACUGAGAGGUCGACCGGCCACAUUGGGACUGAGACACGGCCCAGACUCCUACGGGAGGCAGCAGUGGGGAAUAUUGCACAAUGGGCGAAAGCCUGAUGCAGCGACGCCGCGUGAGCGAAGAAGUAUUUCGGUAUGUAAAGCUCUAUCAGCAAGGAAGAUAAUGACGGUACUUGACUAAGAAGCCCCGGCUAAUUACGUGCCAGCCGCCGCGGUAA